rnacentral:rRNA from 1 species
UAAUGUAUGGGGAUCUGCCCGAUAGAGGGGGAUAACUACUGGAAACGGUGGCUAAUACCGCAUAAUGUCUACGGACCAAAGCAGGGGCUCUUCGGACCUUGCACUAUCGGAUGAACCAUAUGGGAUUAGCUAGUAGGUGGGGUAAAGGCUCACCUAGGCGACGACUCCUAGCUGGUCUGAGAGGAUGAUCAGCCACACUGGGACUGAGACACGGCCCAG